GACGAACGCUGGCGGCGUGCUUAACACAUGCAAGUCGAACGGAAAGGCCCUGCUUUUGUGGGGUGCUCGAGUGGCGAACGGGUGAGUAACACGUGAGUAACCUGCCCUUGACUUUGGGAUAACUUCAGGAAACUGGGGCUAAUACCGGAUAGGAGCUCCUGCUGCAUGGUGGGGGUUGGAAAGUUUCGGCGGUUGGGGAUGGACUCGCGGCUUAUCAGCUUGUUGGUGGGGUAGUGGCUUACCAAGGCUUUGACGGGUAGCCGGCCUGAGAGGGUGACCGGCCACAUUGGGACUGAGAUACGGCCCAGACUCCUACGGGAGGCAGCAGUGGGGAAUAUUGCACAAUGGGCGGAAGCCUGAUGCAGCGACGCCGCGUGCGGGAUGACGGCCUUCGGGUUGUAAACCGCUUUCGCCUGUGACGAAGCGUGAGCGACGGUAAUGGGUAAAGAAGCACCGGCUAACUACGUG
rnacentral:rRNA from 1 species